GACCUCAAAUCAGGUAGGGCUACCCGCUGAACUUAAGCAUAUCAAUAAGCGGAGGAAAAGAAACUAACAAGGAUUCCCCUAGUAGCGGCGAGCGAACCGGGACGAGCUCAAAUUUGAAAUCUGGCGCCCUCCGGGCGUCCGAGUUGUAAUCUACAGAAGCGUCUUCCGCGCCGGACCGUGUCCAAGUCCCUUGGAACAGGGUAUCAAAGAGGGUGACAAUCCCGUGCUUGACACGACGACCGGUGCUCUGUGAUGCGCUCUCCACGAGUCGAGUUGUUUGGGAAUGCAGCUCAAAACGGGUGGUAAAUUCCAUCUAAAGCUAAAUAUUGGCAAGAGACCGAUAGCGAACAAGUACCGUGAGGGAAAGAUGAAAAGCACUUGGAAAGAGAGU
rnacentral:rRNA from 1 species